GAUUCUAACAAUAUUAUUCUGGCUGUAGUCCCAGUUCUCUGUGAACCAGAAUUUCCUUAAUGAGUUCAUGGAGGCAUUUAGAAGGUCUUUGUAUGAAAACAGAUGCACAAUGCCGCACACUCGGGAUGAUUAAUCUACAAACUGACAGACGGAUUGUGUAUGGACAAAUACCUGUGAGUGUGUGUUGUGAUGCAGAAACACACCUCACAUGCAUGUGUAUCUCAGGAAAGAGAUGUGUGAUCCAGAACAGGAUCCACCUCUAAGCUAAUAGUCUAGUUCAGAGGUCUUCAACAGGGAGGUACUGCAGGGGGGUCGCAAGAUUUGUGGUUGAUAAAAAAAAAAAAAAAAAGAAAAAAAGAAAUUGUCUUAACAUUUUUUUUUCCCACAAAUUUAAAUGUCUUCAGAAUCAGAAUUGUAUUUAUUGUCUUUAAAUACACAUUAACAUGAAUCCAACAUGUUGUAGCCAACGAAUGAAUUGAUGGAGAAGACGUUAUGUUUCAGUCUGCAACGCACACAUUCAGCUUCCCUCAGCAGCUCUCAAGCUGGACACCGGUUCCCUCACUGCUCCUUUCAUGCUGAUACGACAGCGCAGGCACCAGCCAAUCAGAUCGCCUUUAUGCUCACGUCUAAAGAGCGCGAAGCUCAAAAAUAAAAGCUGGUGGACCAAACUCUGUAGAAUAGGGGUCCCUGCUCCAUCUCGCCAUCAGUUUAGGGGUCCUUGGCCUGAAAAACGACCCCUGGUCUAGUUAUUGUACAAUACAUUACGGCUGAAGCCUUCCCGUAAGUCACAUGAUUGAUGAUGAUUAAUUAAUAAUGAGCCUGCAUAAGCUUGUGAAAUAUUACGUGAUGAGAUAUGCAUGGGUACAAGAGUCAGAGAUGCAGCCAUUUACCAAAUUUAGUGGGCGAGAAAUCCCGUAAACCUAAUUUGUCCUGUGACUCAAAUGCUCACACAGUCAAUGUGUCUGUGUAGGACCCCCACCCACCCCUGCAACGUAUUGUGGUUUGUCCUGCAGUUGAUUUAAUAAAGCCCUUGUUGACUUUCCCUUAAGUGAUGUUGUAAUACUCUCAGGAGAUCGACGCUUGACAGACUGAGGGAAUGAACAUUUGUGUGCUGGUGGGCAAGUUGGAAUCCACUGGUUCCCUUUACAAGAAGCCAAUGCGUUUAUUUCCAUUGUAUGUAUUAUCGUGGACUAACUGCAUGUAUACUAUAUUAUUUAAAAAUAUUUUUGUUUGUUGGACUGUUGGUGGACUUCACCUUGUGGGGGGGGUAGAUGCCUACAUGUAAAAAUAAAAGCGCAAACUGAUUUAAAUCGCAGCAACUCCCCUCAGGGGCCCGAGUGUGAGAUUUUGUUUAGACCACCACAUUGGUGCCCCGUUGAACGCGGCCCACGGAAACCGCAAGGAGUCCUUGUGAGCCGGGGAUGACGUUUUCCCCGAGUCGUAGCUGUGGCUCUGCUGCUGUGUCGUGGAUGGUCCACACUGCUGAGCCCUGUGUUUUGAAUUCACCACCAGGAGUAACGUUGGGCGACAGUAUUUUAUUCGCUAAAGUUCCAGUGGGCUUUGAUGAUGAUCCACUGCUUUUUAGGUUGUUCCUUCGUUUUGUACUCUGUGUUCUGCCUUGUUUAAGAAAUGCCUACCUUAAUUUAGUAGCUGUAGUAGGUCUAGAUGAGUAAAUACUGCCACCUGAUGGGAAGUCCACACGAGGGAACGCAGGCUUGCUUCAUUUUAUUGAGUUGAUAACACGUUGGUUUUGCUGUAAGAUGGAUUCUUCGUCCUUUGAAGAGCCUUCUUCCACACGGGAGCUUAAGACAUUAUUUGUCUGUAAGUGCAUAUUUUGUGUUGUUGUAUAAAU
ensembl:lncRNA